rnacentral:rRNA from 1 species
UACGAAGGGGGCGAGCGUUGUUCGGAAUCACUGGGCGUAAAGGGCGCGUAGGCGGCCCUCUUAGUCGCGUGUGAAAGCCCCAGGCUCAACCUGGGAACGGCGCGCGAAACGGGAGGGCUGGAGUUCGGGAGAGGAGAGUGGAAUUCCCAGUGUAGAGGUGAAAUUCGUAGAUAUUGGGAAGAACACCGGUGCGAAGGCGGCUCUCUGGACCGAGACUGACGCUGAGGUGCGAAAGCGUGGGGAGCAAACAGG